rnacentral:rRNA from 1 species
UAAGGUGGGGGCACCCUGACCGCCUGCCGCGUGAGUGAAGAAGGCCUUCGGGUUGUAAAGCUCUUUCGGACGGAACGAAAUGGUUACGGUCAAUACCCGUGACUGAUGACGGUACCGUAAGAAGAAGCACCGGCUAACUACGUGCCAGCAGCCGCGGUAAUACGUAGGGUGCGAGCGUUAAUCGGAAUUACUGGGCGUAAAGCGUGCGCAGGCGGUUUCGUAAGCUGGAGGUGAAAUCCCCGGGCUUAACCUGGGAAUGGCCUUCAGGACUGCGAGGCUAGAGUGCGGCAGAGGGAGGUGGAAUUCCACGUGUAGCAGUGAAAUGCGUAGAUAUGUGGAGGAACACCGAUGGCGAAGGCAGCCUCCUGGGCCAGCACUGACGCUCAUGCACGAAA